CCUAGGGGUGGCAGCAGUGAGGAAUAUUGGUCAAUGGGCGUAAGCCUGAACCAGCCAAGUCGCGUGAGGGAUGAAGGUUCUAUGGAUCGUAAACCUCUUUUAUAAGGGAAUAAAGUGUGGGACGUGCCCUAUUUUGUAUGUACCUUAUGAUUAAGGAUCGGCUAACUCCGUGCCAGCAGCAGCGGUAAUACGGAGGAUCCGAGCGUUAUCCGGAUUUAUUGGGUUUAAAGGGUGCGUAGGCGGCCUUUUAAGUCAGCGGUGAAAGUCUGGGGUUAAACCAUAGAAUUGCCGUUGAAACUGGGGGGCUUGAGUAUGUUUGAGGCAGGCGGAAUGCGUGGUGUAGCGGUGAAAUGCUUAGAUAUCACGCAGAACCCCGAUUGCGAAGGCAGCCUGCCAAGCCAUGACUGACGCUGAUGCACGAAAGCGUGGGGAUCAAACAGGAUUAGAUACCCGGGUAGU
rnacentral:rRNA from 1 species